rnacentral:rRNA from 1 species
AUUGAACGCUGGCGGCAGGCCUAACACAUGCAAGUCGAACGAGUGGCGGACGGGUGAGUAAUGUCUGGUAAACUGCCUGAUGGAGGGGGAUAACUACUGGAAACGGUAGCUAAUACCGCAUACCAUCAGAUGUGCCCAGAUGGGAUUUGCUUGUUGGUGGGGUAACGGCUCAGCAAGGCGACGAUGCCUAGCUGGUCUGAGAGGAUGACCAGCAACACUGGAACGGUGACACGGUCCAGCCUCGUACGGGAGGCAGCAGUGGGUAAGAUUGGACACUGGGAGCAAGCGUGAUGUAGCCAUGCCGCGUGUAUUAGUAAGGCCUUCGGGUUGUAGAGUACGUUCAGCGGGGAGGCGUUACCCGCAGAAUAAGCACCGGCUAACUCCGUGCCAGCAGCCGCGGUAAUUU